ensembl:lncRNA
GAGCAACCUGGAAGCCAAACCAAUCAGAAUACAAACACGGCAAACAGAGAAGUGUAUUGUUCACCACCUGAUGUGAAGAGCCGACUCAUUGGAAAAGACCCUGAUGCCAGGAAAGAUUGAGGCCAGGAGGUGAAGGAGGCAACAGAGGCUGAGAUGGUUGGAUGGCAUCAUUGACUCAAUGAAUGUUACAGAGAGUUAAGUGCUUGACUCUAUUCACAUAAAGUUUCAGAUGGACAGUGGGUCUGACUGGAUGGAAUGGGAUCAACCAAUACAUCUAUGCAGACACAUGCCCUGUGUUCAAGAACUGAGUAUCUUUGUUCCCAAAAGCAUCUUCUGGAAGUGAUGAGCGCUGAUUCCCACAGAGAGUAUUUGUCUUUAAUAUUUCUAUGUCAUCUCCAGCUACUCUGGAUCUGUUGAAAGUUGGCACCUCAUGAAGAGGG